GUUUGGAGAGCUCAGAGCUUAUAUGCAUGUCAGUUGUGGGCGGGAACUCUGCAUCAACCUGGGAACAGAACUCUCUCCAAGAAACAUCAGCAACUUGAGGUCCUCAGCUCAACUCCGUAAGGGACUCUCAUUCAUCUAUUCCUUGAGAAGUUCCUGACCUUGAGUUGGCCAGGAAGUCUUACUACCAGCUGGGAGGAAGAGUGAAGUUACAAAAAGAUAAGUCUGACUUCCAAGGUUACAAAAUCUGACCCGGAAAUAUAAGUCAUUAAUGAAAAGAAAUGGUUUAUUAUGCUACUGAAUGAAAGUGAUGUGUCUGCAAGACAGAGACAUUUGUUUCUAGCUCUCAGGAUGCUAAUUUACUAGCAGUGUGAAAUAUAGUAGAUCUUUGUGAUAAGCCUGUGACCUCUGGAACCUAUGAAGUCAUUACAAUGUCUUGCUUAAUGUCGCCAGCAAGUGACACUGUCACCAAUCUUAAACUUGUACUGUACUGCCUGGGACUGGACAAGAGCUAUGGAUUAAACAAAUUUGAAUACUCAAACUAUAUGCAGUUAUUUUAAAACCAAAAUUUCUUUGAUUUUGAAUGAUUCAGAAUGAUUAUUUGCAUCAAAUUAUGUAUAAGUCCCACUUUUUAACAUAUUGUCAAUGAAAUUUAAGUUAGUGAAAUAAUGUUCAGAGAGAAGUUUAACUGCACCUUCCAAAGUAGACAUUAAAUGACGUUUCUUUAAUGUUAAUUCCCUUAGAAGAAAGACAAGAAGUUUUCUGAGAUAAAUGUGGAUAGUAUACCAUCUUCCCUAAUAAAUUUACACUCAAGCUAUAAAAGCCUAUCCAGUGACAGAUCUUUUUUUACUCUCAUAUUAACCAAUCGAUGUAACUAUUUGACUCUAUUGAGCUGGGUACUUUUUGCAAUUUUAAAACUGAGUGUGUAUUAAACAUUAUUUUGUAUUAGCAGUAUUUACUUGUAUUUCUCUGGAGACAUCUAGUGGAGAAAGUAUAGUAUACAAGGUUUACAGAAGCACAGAUAUCUUCACAUUUCGAUUAAAAUAAUAAUCAAUGGGAAAUUCAUUCAAAACAGUAAAUAUUUUACACACAUUUCAAUGUAAAUGAAAAUAAAUACUAUCUCACAAAAAGUAUCUUAUGUUUGAUUAAUACUGGUUACAAUGAUGUCAAAUCUGAAAUGAAGUUUAAAAAUUCUGGUCACAUGCGUGUGACUAACAAAUGAGUGGCUUCACUUUUUAUCUGAGCUUUUUUUCUGCACUGACACAGGAUAGCAACACGUGAAUGAGGAAUUAUGAUUGAAUUUAUUGGAUUUUUAAACUUCAAAUAUAUGAUUGGAAAUAGUCACUUCUCCACUCAGAUUUCAUUCAUUGGUUCCUUCUCGCAUUAUACACUGGUUUUCACCUUUGGCACUUCUGAUAGUACUGACGUUAUGCCUUUCAUCUUCUCUUUCAUUUGGAUACAGAAAACAUUGUUUCAGAGACAAUUAAAAUCCUCAUUAUCAUCCAUCUCCUGCCCAUAAAUAACUUCUAAUAUUUCUUCUGAUCAAUGAAAGGGAUGGGCAAUAGCUGCAAUUACAUGAGCUCUCUAGCAGGCCAUCUCUUACAGUACUCAAAUUUCAAUGUCCCAUCUUGCACAUUUCAUCUUUUAAAAGAACAGCACAGGGCCGGCGCCGCAGCUCACUAGGCUAAUCCUCCGCCUUGCGGCGCCGGCACACCGGGUUCUAGUCCCGGUUGGGGCACCGGAUUCUGUCCCGGUUGCCCCUCUUCCAGGCCAGCUCUCUGCUGUGGCCAGGGAGUGCAGUGGAGGAUGGCCCAAGUGCUUGGACCCUGCACCCCAUGGGAGACCAGGAGAAGUACCUGGCUCCUGCCAUCUGAUCAGUGCAGUGCGCCGGCCGCGGCGGCCAUUGGAGGGUGAACCAACGGCAAAGGAAGACCUUUCUCUCUCACUGUCCACUCUGCCUGUCAAAAAAUUAAAAAAAAAAAAAAACAGCACGAAUGAUAGUAUCCCCAUUAUAAUUUGUAAUCAUCUAUUUAUCAUUCUUCUCAGACUGUUUCCCUGUAAUAUGGCAAUACUCUCACCUCUCAGGCUUAGACCUCUCAUCUUUUUACUGAUAUCUUCUCAUUACUGACUUGUCCACAUCCAACCCUGCCCCGAUUCUCUUCAUCUGUUUCCAGGAUCUUAAUCCAUAUUCCAAAUACAUCUGAAAAGCUGUUUAUACUUCUUCACAGGAAAACUACCAACCAAAUGAAUUAUUUCUCAUUUUUCAAUAAUAUUUCUUCUCUCCUCAAAGACAUUGGCUAUAUUUGGUUCUAAAAUAAACUACUGCUCCACUUCUCCAGAUACUGAUUUUAUACAAUGAUUUUCCAAUUCUGGAGAUUGAGUAGUGCUACCUUCAAGAAUUUGCCUUCUUCCUUUUCUUGUAUCACAUGAGAGUUUCUGGAUUUCUCAUUCAAACUUCCACCCAAAAAAGUCUCCUCUUCUAUAAAUGUGUGCAUCUGAUAAAGGUUUUUAUUUGCUAUAAUUAUAUGCAUAUCAAACUUAGGAUACUGUGUUAGAAUGGGGAGAAUGUGGAAAAGAUUUGCUCUUUUGGGUCCGGCUCUGUGGCACACUAGGUUAAUCUUCCGCUUAUAGCACCAGCAUCCCAUAUAGGCACUGGUUCUAGUCCCAGCUGCUCCUCUUCCAAUCCAGCUCUCUGCUGUGGCCUGGGAAAGCAGUAGAAGAUGACCCAAGUCCUUGGGCCCCUGCACCCACGAGGGAGACCCAGAAGAGGCUCCUGGCUCCUGGCUUUGGAUUGGCACAGCUCUGGCCUUUGUGUCCAUCUGGGGAGUGAACCAACAGAAGGAAGACCUUUCUGUCUCUCCCUCUCACUGUCCAUAACUCUACCUCUCAAAUAAAUAAAUAAAAUCUUUUUUUAAAAAAAGAUUUGCCCUUUCAAUGCUAAUGAAUUUGCAGCAUUCUUUAUAUUUUCAAUCUUAUUCCCAGACACACUUGUAAAAAAAUAAAUGAUGAGUUAUAGGCACUGGGAUUUGGAUGUUAAAGUUUCCUACUGUAUAAUGAACAAUAAAAAAGAAGUUGACUUUGUUAGAGAAAUUUCAUGGUAAAGGAUAAAGGGAAAAUUAUUCAAGUGGGCACAGAGACUAAUCCUAUGGUUCUUAUUUAGAAAAAAAAAAUAAGGCCUAUGCAUCAAAGAAGGAGGUACCUUUCUCUGAAGGGAGGAGAGAACUUCCACUUUGACUAUGACCUUGUUUAAAUAAGAUCGAAGUCAACGAACUCAAGAGGCUUCCAUAGCUUUGGAAACUCAUGACUAGAGCCUAAGGAGAUUUCUGACGCCAUAAACAAGAGUGUCAAAUUGUUAAGUCAACAACAGAAGUCACUGUGCACUUACUACCCGUAUGGGAUCUCUGUCCUUAAUGUGUUGUCCAAUGUGAAUUAAUGCUAUAACUAGUACUCAAACAGUAUUUUAUACUUUAUGCUCUGUGUGGGUGCAAACUGAUGAAAUCUUUAUUUAAUAUAUACUAAAUUGAUCUUCUGUAUAUAAAGAUAAUUGAAAAUGAAUCUUGAUGUGAAUGGAAUGGGAGAGGGAGCGGGAGAUGGGAGGGGUGCGGGUGGGAGGGAAGUUAUGGGGAGGGAUGCCAUUGUAAUCCAUAAACUGUAGUUUGAAAAUUAUAUUUACUAAAUAAAAGUUUAAAAAAAAUAAGGCCUAUGAUAAUUAUGGCAGUUUUGACCUUAAAUGAGAAAAGACUCUGAUCCUUUGAGUCUUCAUAGAAAUGCAUGCAUACAAUUGUAAAUAUUAUAUUGAGUUGUCAUAUUAAUAAAAAUGAACUCUUAAGAGGACAAUUACUAGAAGAAUAACAUAUUCAUCAUAUUGACUUAAUGUAUAUUAGUGAUCUUUGAAAUUCAUAUACACAGUAAAAUGUGAUAGGAAAACCAAUAUUGGGGUGAAUGUUGUUAGUGAUGUUAAAGUUAGAAAGUUAAUUUAAUAUCCAAACAGUAUAAUCCAGAGAUGUAGCCAAUUAAUGAUUCCUCAGCAUAACAGAGUAUUUGGGGAGCCUCAAUUUUGAAAAAUAUUAGAUCAAUUCUCAGUUGUCAAUCUAUUAGCAUGUAUGUUUAUCAUAUACCUGGUUUAUCUCCAGAGUUUUUCUUUCUUCCCACUCUUACAAGGUUAAUGACCAGAUGGUGGGGCAAGUCUUUGCUGUAGUGAUUAAGAUGCCUUUUGGGAAGCCUACAUCCAGUAUAGGAAAGAUUGGCUUUGAAUCUUGGCUCCAUUCUGAUUGCAGCUUCUUGCUGCUGUAAUGAAGACCUGUAUUAAGUUCCUAGCUCCUGGUUUCAGCCUGGCUCAACCCUGGCUGUUGAAGUCACUUGAGGAGAGAACCAGCAGUUGGGAGCUCUAUAUCUCUUUCAUCUCUCAUCUCUCUCAUGACUAAAUAAAAUAAAAUCUAAAAAUUAAUAAAUAAGAAUAGUCAAAUGUUUUGUGGAAUUGCUAUGAAAUAUGCUACAUACUAUACAUUUGAUUGUUAUUUUAUUAUUUUCUUUGCAGAAAAUCCUCCUAUUUGUGAAGUUUCAUUGUUUCUGGAUUGCCUUUCCCACUGCAAUUUGGCAGCUUGAGUUAAAUGCAGUGUUAAACACCUACCCCCUGAGACAGGGCUCUUUAAAAGAAAAAGGAUUUUUUUUACAUUGAAAGAGAACUUAGAAAAUAUUUUAAAAUCAGGCUACAAAACUCUAAGUUGGAUGGUUUCAGGAUUUGAGAAUCAUGUUGCAGAUUUACAUGUCUGACCUCUAGUGGCUGAAACUAAUUUUUGCAACUGUAAAUUUUCAAAGAAGCUUCUUCAGAAAGUAUAAACUGUUUGUCAACAUCACAAAAUGAAAUCUGAGGUGGUAAGACUCCUUUUGUUCAAACAGACACCAGAGACAGUGGAGGAUCGAAGUAGUUCAUUAUGGCAGCAGGCUCAGCUGGAAUCAUUUCCUGAGAAUUGAGCGACAAUCCUGAGUUUCUUACAAUAUUCAUCAGCAUCAUACCUUAGCUGUUACAGCAUUAGUGGGGUUAAAUUGUAGCCUACGUGACUUAGGACCACACUUCCAAAGAGAUGACCAAAUCUAACAUGAAGCACUUUCCGAGGACUCAAUCUGUCAAAUCAUUUUUUUUAAAGUUUCAUUAAAUAAAAAUCC